rnacentral:rRNA from 1 species
UACGAAGGGGGCUAGCGUUGCUCGGAAUCACUGGGCGUAAAGGGUGCGUAGGCGGGUCUUUAAGUCAGGGGUGAAAUCCUGGAGCUCAACUCCAGAACUGCCUUUGAUACUGAAGAUCUUGAGUUCGGGAGAGGUGAGUGGAACUGCGAGUGUAGAGGUGAAAUUCGUAGAUAUUCGGAAGAACACCAGUGGCGAAGGCGGCUCACUGGACUGGUAUUGACGCUGAUGUGCGAAGGCGUGGGGAGCAAACAGG